rnacentral:rRNA from 1 species
AUUGAACGCUGGCGGCAUGCUUUACACAUGCAAGUCGAACGGUAACAGGCCGCAAGGUGCUGACGAGUGGCGAACGGGUGAGUAAUGCAUCGGAACGUGCCCAGUCGUGGGGGAUAACGCAGCGAAAGCAGUGCUAAUACCGCAUACGAUCUGUGGAUGAAAGCGGGGGACCUUCGGGCCUCGCGCGGUUGGAGCGGCCGAUGUAAGAUUAGGUAGUUGGUGGGGUUAGGGCUCACCAAGCCGACGAUCUGUAGCUGGUCUGAGAAGACGACCAGCCACACUGGGACUGAGACACGGCCCAGACUCCUACGGGAGGCAGCAGUGGGGAAUUUUGGACAAUGGGCGCAAGCCUGAUCCAGCAAUGCCGCGUGCAGGAAGAAGGCCUUCGGGUUGUAAACUGCUUUUGUACGGAGCGAAAAGGCUCCCUCUAAUACAGGGGGCUCAUGACGGUACCGUAAGAAUAAGCACCGGCUAACUACGUGCCAGCAGCCGCAGUAAGAC